AGAGUUUGAUCAUGGCUCAGAUUGAACGCUGGCGGCAGGCCUAACACAUGCAAGUCGAACGGUAACAGGAAACAGCUUGCUGUUUCGCUGACGAGUGGCGGACGGGUGAGUAAUGUCUGGGAAACUGCCUGAUGGAGGGGGAUAACUACUGGAAACGGUAGCUAAUACCGCAUAACGUCGCAAGACCAAAGAGGGGGACCUUCGGGCCUCUUGCCAUCGGAUGUGCCCAGAUGGGAUUAGCUAGUAGGUGGGGUAACGGCUCACCUAGGCGACGAUCCCUAGCUGGUCUGAGAGGAUGACCAGCCACACUGGAACUGAGACACGGUCCAGACUCCUACGGGAGGCAGCAGUGGGGAAUAUUGCACAAUGGGCGCAAGCCUGAUGCAGCCAUGCCGCGUGUAUGAAGAAGGCCUUCGGGUUGUAAAGUACUUUCAGCGGGGAGGAAGGGAGUAAAGUUAAUACCUUUGCUCAUUGACGUUACCCGCAGAAGAAGCACCGGCUAACUCCGUGCCAGCAGCCGCGGUAAUACGGAGGGUGCAAGCGUUAAUCGGAAUUACUGGGCGUAAAGCGCACGCAGGCGGUUUGUUAAGUCAGAUGUGAAAUCCCCGGGCUCAACCUGGGAACUGCAUCUGAUACUGGCAAGCUUGAGUCUCGUAGAGGGGGGUAGAAUUCCAGGUGUAGCGGUGAAAUGCGUAGAGAUCUGGAGGAAUACCGGUGGCGAAGGCGGCCCCCUGGACGAAGACUGACGCUCAGGUGCGAAAGCGUGGGGAGCAAACAGGAUUAGAUACCCUGGUAGUCCACGCCGUAAACGAUGUCGACUUGGAGGUUGUGCCCUUGAGGCGUGGCUUCCGGAGCUAACGCGUUAAGUCGACCGCCUGGGGAGUACGGCCGCAAGGUUAAAACUCAAAUGAAUUGACGGGGGCCCGCACAAGCGGUGGAGCAUGUGGUUUAAUUCGAUGCAACGCGAAGAACCUUACCUGGUCUUGACAUCUACAGAACUUUCCAGAGAUGGAUUGGUGCCUUCGGGAACUGUGAGACAGGUGCUGCAUGGCUGUCGUCAGCUCGUGUUGUGAAAUGUUGGGUUAAGUCCCGCAACGAGCGCAACCCUUAUCCUUUGUUGCCAGCGGUCCGGCCGGGAACUCAAAGGAGACUGCCAGUGAUAAACUGGAGGAAGGUGGGGAUGACGUCAAGUCAUCAUGGCCCUUACGACCAGGGCUACACACGUGCUACAAUGGCGCAUACAAAGAGAAGCGACCUCGCGAGAGCAAGCGGACCUCAUAAAGUGCGUCGUAGUCCGGAUUGGAGUCUGCAACUCGACUCCAUGAAGUCGGAAUCGCUAGUAAUCGUGGAUCAGAAUGCCACGGUGAAUACGUUCCCGGGCCUUGUACACACCGCCCGUCACACCAUGGGAGUGGGUUGCAAAAGAAGUAGGUAGCUUAACCUUCGGGAGGGCGCUUACCACUUUGUGAUUCAUGACUGGGGUGAAGUCGUAACAAGGUAACCGUAGGGGAACCUGCGGUUGGAUCACCU
rnacentral:rRNA from 1 species